rnacentral:rRNA from 1 species
GACGAACGCUGGCGGCGUGCUUAACACAUGCAAGUCGAACGGUGAAGGGGUCUGCUUUUGUGGGCCCUGGAUGCGUGGCGCACGGGUGAGUAACACGUGAGUAACCUGCCCCCUUCUUCUGGAUAACCGCAUGAAAGUGUGGCUAAUACGGGAUAUUCUGGGUCUGUCGCAUGCUGGGGCUGGGAAAGAUUUCGCCGUUGGGUGUUUUUGGUGGGGGAUUGGCUCGCGGCGUAUCAGCUAGUUGGUGGGGUAAUGGCCUCCCAGGGCGGCCACGGGUAGCCGGCCUGAGAGGAGGAUGGGCACAACGGGAACUGGGACACGGUCCAGACUCCUACGGGAGGCAGCAGUGGGGAAGAUUGGGCAAUGGGCGAAAGCCUGACGGAGCAAUGCCGCGUGAGUGAAGAAGGUCUUCGGAUCGUAAAGCGCUGUUAUUAGGGAAGAAAAGAUGUAGAUGGAUAUGUGGCCAUCGGGACGGUACCGAAUGAGAAAGCCACGGCUAACUUCGUG